rnacentral:rRNA from 1 species
AUUGAACGCUGGCGGCAGGCCUAACACAUGCAAGUCGAGCGAGUGGCGGACGGGUGAGUAAUGUCUGGGGAUCUGCCCGAUCGAGGGGGAUAACUCCUGGAAACGGUGGCUAAUACCGCAUACUAUCGGAUGUACCCAUAUGGGAUUAGCUAGUGGGUGGGGUAAAGGCUCACCUAGGCGACGAUCUCUAGCUGGUCUGAGAGGCUGAGAAGCCACACUGGAACUGAGACACGGCCCAGACUCCUACGGGAGGAAGCAGUGGGGAAUAUUGCACAAUGGGCGCAAGCCUGAUGCAGCCAUGCCGCGUGUAUGAAGAAGGCCUUAGGGUUGUAAAGUACUUUCAGCGGGGAGGCGUUACCCGCAGAAGAAGCACCGGCUAACUCCGUGCCAGCAGCCGCGGUAAUAC